rnacentral:ncRNA from 13 species
CGGACAUAGUUUAGUGGUAAAACCUUAGACUUCCAAUCUAAUGAUGGGGGUUCGAUUCCCCCUGCCC